rnacentral:rRNA from 1 species
UACGGAGGAUGCAAGCGUUAUCCGGAAUGAUUGGGCGUAAAGCGUCCGCAGGUGGCAAUGUAAGUCUGCUGUUAAAGAGUCUAGCUCAACUAGAUAAAAGCAGUGGAAACUACAUAGCUAGAGUACGUUCGGGGCAGAGGGAAUUCCUGGUGUAGCGGUGAAAUGCGUAGAGGUCAGGAAGAACACCGGUGGCGAAGGCGCUCUGCUAGGCCGUAACUGACACUGAGGGACGAAAGCUAGGGGAGCGAAUGGG